rnacentral:rRNA from 1 species
AAACCAGCACCUCAAGUGGUCAGGAUGAUUAUUGGGCCUAAAGCAUCCGUAGCCGGCUCUGUAAGUUUUCGGUUAAAUCUGUAUGCUUAACGUACAGGCCGCCGGGAAUACUGCAGAACUAGGGAGUGGGAGAGGUAGACGGUACUCGGGAGGAAGUGGUAAAAUGCUUUGAUCUCUCGAUGACCACCUGUGGCGAAGGCGGUCUACCAGAACACGUCCGACGGUGAGGGAUGAAAGCUGGGGGAGCAAACCGGAUUAGAUACCCCAGUAGUCC